GACGAACGCUGGCGGCGUGCUUAACACAUGCAAGUCGAACGCUGAAGCUCAGCUUUUGUUGGGUGGAUGAGUGGCGAACGGGUGAGUAACACGUGAGUAACCUGCCCCCUUCUUUGGGAUAACGCCCGGAAACGGGUGCUAAUACUGGAUAUUCACUGGUCUUCGCAUGGGGGUUGGUGGAAAGGGUUUUUCUGGUGGGGGAUGGGCUCGCGGCCUAUCAGCUUGUUGGUGGGGUGAUGGCCUACCAAGGCUUUGACGGGUAGCCGGCCUGAGAGGGUGACCGGUCACAUUGGGACUGAGAUACGGCCCAGACUCCUACGGGAGGCAGCAGUGGGGAAUAUUGCCCAAUGGGCGCAAGACUGAUGCAGCGACGCCGCGUGAGGGAUGGAGGCCUUCGGGUUGUGAACCUCUUUAGCUCAUGGUCAAGCCGCAACAAUGGUUGUGGUGAGGGUAGUGGGUAAAGAAGCGCCGGCUAACUACGUG
rnacentral:rRNA from 1 species